GCGGAGGAAAAGAAAAUAACAAUGAUUUCCCUAGUAACGGCGAGUGAAGAGGAAAGAGCUCAAAGUUGGAAUCCGGCUGCCUUAGGUAGUUGGAAUUGUAAACUGGAGAGGUGUUUUCCAGGCGAGCCGAGCAAAUAAGUCCUUUGGAACAGGGCAUCAUAGAGGGUGAGAAUCCCGUCUUUGGCUUGAGCAUUGCCUUCUGCGAUACACUUUCAAAGAGUCAGGUUGUUUGGGAAUGCAGCCUAAAUUGGGUGGUAAAUCUCACCUAAAGCUAAAUAUUGGCGAGAGACCGAUAGCGAACAAGUACCGUGAGGGAAAGAUGAAAAGAACUUUGAAAAGAGAGUUAAACAGUAUGUGAAAUUGUUGAAAGGGAACCGUUUGGAGCCAGACCGGCUGUUCUAUAAUCAAUCUCUGCUUCGGUAGGGAUGCACUUGUAGGGCUUUAGCCUGCCAACAGCAAUUUUCUUUGGUGGAAAAAACUAGGAGGAAUGUGGCCCCUCGGGGUGUUAUAGCCUCUUAGAAAAUACACUGAAGGGGAUUGAGGACUGCAGCAAAUGCUUUUGGCGAAAUAACUGGGCGCUUGCGUUAAGGAAGUAUAGAAUUUCUGCUUCGGGUGGUGCUAUGCUCUAAGAUGCAACUCGUUUAGACUAUUUUCUAUUUGCUUAGGUUGUUGGCUUAAUGACUCUAAAUGAC
rnacentral:rRNA from 1 species